AUUGAACGCUGGCGGCAGGCCUAACACAUGCAAGUCGAGCGGAUGAAGGGAGCUUGCUCCUGGAUUCAGCGGCGGACGGGUGAGUAAUGCCUAGGAAUCUGCCUGGUAGUGGGGGAUAACGUCCGGAAACGGGCGCUAAUACCGCAUACGUCCUGAGGUAGAAAGUGGGGGAGCUUCGGACCUCACGCUAUCAGAUGAGCCUAGGUCGGAUUAGCUAGUUGGUGGGGUAAAGGCCUACCAAGGCGACGAUCCGUAACUGGUCUGAGAGGAUGAUCAGUCACACUGGCACUGAGACACGGUCCAGACUCCUACGGGAGGAAGCAGUGGGGAAUAUUGGACAAUGGGCGAAAGCCUGAUCCAGCCAUGCCGCGUGUGUGAAGAAGGUCUUCGGAUUGUAAAGCAAUUUAAGUUGGGAGGAAGGGAAGUAAGUUAAUACCUUGCUGUUUUGACGUUACCAACAGAAUAAGCACCGGCUAACUUCGUG
rnacentral:rRNA from 1 species